CAGUAGCCGCGGGAAUACGGAGGGGGCUAGCGUUGUUCGGAAUUACUGGGCGUAAAGCGCACGUAGGCGGCUUGGUAAGUUAGAGGUGAAAGCCUGGAGCUCAACUCCAGAAUUGCCUUUAAGACUGCCGAGCUAGCAGGUGAGAGAGGUAAGUGGAAUUCCGAGUGUAGAGGUGAAAUUCGUAGAUAUUCGGAAGAACACCAGUGGCGAAGGCGGCUUACUGGCUCAUACUGGACGCUGAGGUGCGAAAGCGUGGGGAGCAAACAGGAUUAGAUACCCCCGUAGUCCCUGUCUCUUAUAC
rnacentral:rRNA from 1 species